rnacentral:rRNA from 1 species
GCGCGAAAACUUUACAAUGCUGGCAACAGCGAUAAGGGAACCUCGAGUGCCAGGUUACAAAUCUGGCUGUCGAGAUGCCUAAAAAGCAUUUCAUAGCAAGGGCCGGGCAAAACCGGUGCCAGCCGCCGCGGUAACACCGGCGGCUCGAGUGGUAACCGUUAUUAUUGGGUCUAAAGGGUCUGUAGCCGGCCGGAUAAGUCUCUUGAGAAAUCUGGCAGCUUAACUGUCAGGCUUUCAGGAGAUACUGUCUGGCUCGAGGCCGGGAGAGGUGAGAGGUACUUCAGGGGUAGGGGUGAAAUCUUGUAAUCCUUGAAGGACCACCAGUGGCGAAGGCGUCUCACCAGAACGGACCUGACGGCAAGGGACGAAAGCUAGGGGCACGAACCG